rnacentral:rRNA from 1 species
CAAUAGCGUAUAUUUAAGUUGUUGCAGUUAAAAUCUCGUAGUUGGAUUUCGGAUGUGAUCAAUCGGUCCGCCGUUGCGGUGUGCACUGGACGUGUGUAUCUUGUUGUCGGGGACGCGCUCCUGACCUUAACUGGGAGGGACGUGGAGUCGGCGAUGUUACUUUGACAAAAUUAGAGUGUUCAAAGCAGGCAACCGCUCUGAAUACAUUAGCAUGGAAUAACGCUAUAGGACUCUGGUCCUAUUGUGUUGGUCUUCGGGACCCGGAGUAAUGAUUAAGAGGGACAGUUGGGGGCAUUCGUAUUUCAUUGUCAGAGGUGAAAUUCUUGGAUUAAUGAAAGACGAACUUUUGCGAAAGCAUUUGCCAAGGAUGUUUUCAUUAAUCAAGAAUAAAAGUUGGGGGCUCGAAGACGAUCAGAUACCG